UGCGGGCGGGCCGACGCUCUAGCGAGGAGCGACAGGGCGACGGCGGGCGCUGCGGGCGGCGGGGCGUGCAUGCUGGCGCGGUAGCGGGCGGCGCGGCGUACACGGGGCUCUGCAGGGUGCGACAACGAUGCUUCUGCGGGCGGCGUGGCGAGGUCGCGGGCGACGACGGCAUGACAACGGGCGGCGGGGUGCGACGACGUUCGCUGCGCGACGUGACUGCGUGUGUUGCGUGAGCUGUAGGCCCGAGUUGUUCGUUUGGGAUGCGUCCCACGUUGGGUGCCCUGCCGGCGCAAACACAAAUUUAGUCAGACACGACCCCAUUGCUACCCCAAACGAAAGAAAUCCGGAGAAAACAGAAAUCUGGAGAAAACAGACGUCCGUUUGGGAUUGUGCGUUGGAGUUGGCCUCGAGAUUAACCAUUAACAUACGAACCGAACCAGAUUUGUAAACACUUGCCGUAAAUAAACAAAGAAAUUGGACAACCGGAGCAAACACUCCACUCCCUCACUACACAGACACAGGCGGAUAAGCUCCUCUCUCCCUCACAGAACACGACCGCCCCUCUUCCACUGCAUCCCCACCGGCGGCGAGACGAACACCCACCCCUGCCUGGUCCAUGGCGGCCGCCCUUCCACAGCCGCUGAUCUAUGUCCCUCCACCCCCUCCUGUCGCUGCGCCGGUCCAUGGUGGCCGCCCUUCCCUUACCUCUCUUCACGCAGCCCGGAUCUGCCGCCUAUGGCUUCCACCUUGCUUCCCUUUUCCCCAUCGCUCUCCAGCCCCGCAACGGACCCGUUCGCCGCCACCAGCCUAGUCCGCAACCACGGCUCCGCUCCGGCCGCCAUGGAUGAGCUUUGCCUCCAACGGAUCGUCGGCACCGACCAUCGGGCAGCCUUGGAGGGAUCCGGCAGAGGCUCCCCACCUCGACUGCGGCUGGAGAAGGCCGUCGAUGCUUCCUACUUCGCGCCGUCCCAGCAACAAUGAGCGCCGCCGCGUCCGUCCAUGGGUACCCCCUGCUCAGCGUACUUCGUAGACGGGUUCGUCCUCUUCCUACUGGGAUCAAACAUGUCCACGUCUGUCUUCUCCAACGUUGGGUGCUAUCCUGGUAUUGGGCAGCAGCUUCUCAAACGAUACGUAAGACGAGCUGCUUCGUCACUUCGUCAGUGGCCAUGUAUGGUUUUGUUUUUUUUCUUCAGAAAAAUCAGAAUGCACAAGAUGUCUUCCAACGGCCUGGCAGGGAUUGGUUCUUCGGCCCAUCAGCUUCGGGCUCUGGCCCACUUGUCGCCUCUGACAAGAUAAAAACGAUCACUCCAUCAAGUAGUCUGGCCCAUCUAGCAGCUCAGGUUCAAGUUUUUAUCCUGAGUUUAUUUUACCGGUUAUCUUCGGUUUCUUUUUUCAUUUUCAAAAGAAAUCCUUUUGUAAGAUUUUUUUUCCAAAUUUCAAGAAAUGUUCGUGUUUAAUAUAUCUGUUCGGAAUUUAUAAAAAUUACCGUUUAGUUUUUUAA